rnacentral:lncRNA from 1 species
AUGCUGCUGCUGUCAACCACCACUGGUUGGGCAUGCAGUACCCACAGCCUUCUCGCUCGGCCCCGGCUGCCGCCGCUUUGCCAACUACCAAGAUCACCAGCCCAGGACACUUCUGCAGGACGAGCCUCGGGCCCAAGUACCAGCUGCAGCCCGGGCUUCCCUACUUUCAGAGGCCUUUUUCACCGGCAGUUCCGUGCAGCCUACCUCCCCCCAGGCCUAUUUCCAGGGCCCCCUUCCCUCCGCAGGGGCCCCGAGAGCCUCGCUUCCCCACGCCACCCCUCGGGGCCACCCAGACCCUCGCAAGCCCCCGGCCUCCGCCCCGCCCGGCGUCGGGGACGCCGCCGACUGCCUCACCUCAUCGUCGGAUUCCUCGUCACUGCUCUCUUCCUCGGGCACGCAGCCCCGGCUCGGGCCCCAGCCCCGGCCCCGGCCCCGGCCCCGGCCCCGCUGAAUGCGCGGGCCGGCCCACAGGCGGCGGAGCCGGCGCAGGCCCCGGCGGAGCCCCAGCAAACGGAGCAGGGCCGUGUCCUCCCCGGGCUCGGCUCCGCCCGGCCCCGCCGCGCCGCCGCCGCGCCGCAGAGCUACCCGCACUCUCUCGGCCCCGCUGCCCCGUCCGCCGCGGCCCCCGCCCCCGCCGGAGCCCCGCGGCCGGCCCGGGAAGCGGCCCCGCGCGGAGCCAGGCCCGGGGCAACUGCCGCCGCCCGCCGCCGCCGCCAUCUUGGCACCGUGAGAGGGGCCGGGGAGGCGGGGGGAGGGGCGGCCCGUGCGCAGGGCCGGGGGGAGGGGAGGAGAGGUGGGGCGGGGCGGCUGCGGCUCACGACAGCAACCAGCGCCGCCGCGGGGCCAGCGGGAGCCGGGGGCUGGGCCGGUCACGCGCGGGGCACCACGGGAGCGGGAGUCCGAGGCCAGUCGGCCGUCACCCUUAGACCGCGCCUGAAGAGCAGAGACCCCGUGUUGCGGCCCGAGAGGGGUGAGGCGCAGAGACCUCCGGGAAAUGUAGUCCAGGCGCCUCGCUCCUUCCGCCGAGAGCUAGGGCCGCGCGAGAGCUGGGACUAUAGGGUCCUAACCGAACCCAGAAAACCAUCUCCAGGGCUGCCGGGAGGUGUGGUUUUCGCCCCAAACUCCUCCCAUUGCUCCUGUCGAGACGAGGACACGCGUGAACUACUACUCCCAGGGUGCAGUGGGCUUUGGACCCUGGGAAUCGCAGAGACCCUGGGAAAUGCAGUUCGCGACUUGCCGGAGGCGUGGGCUGGGAAAGGGGCCGCGGCAAAGGAGUAG